GGGAGCGGGGCCGACACAGGACUGCAGUUGACAGCAGAUAACUGAAAGCUCGGAAAGCGAAACCGUGGAUAAGCAGGGGAACUGUGGCAUCCCAUUUAAAAUUGCUUCUGAAGAGAAGCAUGAGGUUACAUCUGUAAUCUCCCUGCAGCAGAGUCAACUGCAUAAGAAACCAAAAGACACACCUGCUCCAUGCCAGCUUCGAUAAUUUCUUUGUACCUUCGGCGAAAGAAGCCCAUCUGAAAGGCAGAAAGAAAGAGAAGCUGAGUUAGAAGUGCUGAAGAAUCAGCCAUUGUGACCCCAAGGCAGUCUGUCCCUGGCCUAAGCCACCACAUAAAAAGUCAGACCAUCUGCUGGAAGAACCACAUGGAGAGGCCCUGAGUCAACAUGGAGAGGAAGAAGGACUUGACUGAAUCCAGCCUUCCAGCUGUCCCUACCAAGGUGCCAGGCAUGAGAAUGAAGCUGUCUUGAACUCUGA
rnacentral:lncRNA from 1 species